rnacentral:rRNA from 1 species
CUUACCACAUGCAAGUCGAACGAGAGAAGAGGAGCUUGCUUUUCUGAUCUAGUGGCGGACGGGUGAGUAACACGUGAGCAAUCUGCCUUUCAGAGGGGGAUACCGAUUGGAAACGAUCGUUAAUACCGCAUAACAUAAUUGAACCGCAUGAUUUGAUUAUCAAAGAUUUAUCGCUGAAAGAUGAGCUCGCGUCUGAUUAGCUAGUUGGUAAGGUAACGGCUUACCAAGGCGACGAUCAGUAGCCGGACUGAGAGGUUGAUCGGCCACAUUGGGACUGAGACACGGCCCAGACUCCUACGGGAGGCAGCAGUGGGGAAUAUUGCACAAUGGAGGAAACUCUGAUGCAGCGAUGCCGCGUGAGGGAAGAAGGUUUUAGGAUUGUAAACCUCUGUCUUCAGGGACGAAAAAAGACGGUACCUGAGGAGGAAGCUCCGGCUAACUACGUGCCAGCAGCCGCGGUAAUACGUAGGGAGCGAGCGUUGUCCGGAAUUACUGGGUGUAAAGGGAGCGUAGGCGGGAUCGCAAGUCAGAUGUGAAAACUAUGGGCUUAACCCAUAAACUGCAUUUGAAACUGUGGUUCUUGAGUGAAGUAGAGGUAAGCGGAAUUCCUAGUGUAGCGGUGAAAUGCGUAGAUAUUAGGAGGAACAUCAGUGGCGAAGGCGGCUUACUGGGCUUUAACUGACGCUGAGGCUCGAAAGCGUGGGGAGCAAACAGGAUUAGAUACCCUGGUAGUCCACGCCGUAAACGAUGAUUACUAGGUGUGGGGGGACUGACCCCUUCCGUGCCGCAGCAAACGCAAUAAGUAAUCCACCUGGGGAGUACGACCGCAAGGUUGAAACUCAAAGGAAUUGACGGGGGCCCGCACAAGCAGUGGAGUAUGUGGAUUAAUUCGAAGCAACGCGAAGAACCUUACCAGGUCUUGACAUCGUAUGCAUAGCUCAGAGAUGAGUGAAAUCUCUUCGGAGACAUAUAGACAGGUGGGGCAUGGUUGUCGUCAGCUCGUGUCGUGAGAUGUUGGGUUAAGUCCCGCAACGAGCGCAACCCUUACUGUUAGUUGCUACGCAAGAGCACUCUAGCAGGACUGCCGUUGACAAAACGGAGGAAGGUGGGGAUGACGUCAAAUCAUCAUGCCCCUUAUGACCUGGGCCUCACACGUACUACAAUGGCUGUCAACAGAGGGAAGCAAAGCCGCGAGGUGGAGCGAACCCCUAAAAGCAGUCUUAGUUCGGAUUGUAGGCUGCAACCCGCCUACAUGAAGUCGGAAUUGCUAGUAAUCGCAGAUCAGCAUGCUGCGGUGAAUACGUUCCCGGGCCUUGUACACACCGCCCGUCACGCCAUGGGAGUCGGUAACACCCGAAGCCUGUAGUCUAACCGCAAGGAGGACGCAGUCGAAGGUGGGAUUGAUGACUGGGGUGAAGUCGAAACAAGGUA